rnacentral:rRNA from 1 species
AUUGAACGCUGGCGGCAGGCCUAACACAUGCAAGUCGAGCGGUAGAGAGAAGCUUGCUUCUCUUGAGAGCGGCGGACGGGUGAGUAAUGCCUAGGAAUCUGCCUGAUAGUGGGGGAUAACGUCCGGAAACGGACGCUAAUACCGCAUACGUCCUACGGGAGAACGUGGGGGCUCUUCGGACCUCACGCUAUCAGAUGAGCCUAGGUCGGAUUAGCUAGUUGGUGGGGUAAAGGCUCACCAAGGCGACGAUCCGUAACUGGUCUGAGAGGAUGAUCAGUCACACUGGAACUGAGACACGGUCCAGACUCCUACGGGAGGCAGCAGUGGGGAAUAUUGGACAAUGGGCGAAAGCCUGAUCCAGCCAUGCCGCGUGUGUGAAGAAGGUCUUCGGAUUGUAAAGCACUUUAAGUUGGGAGGAAGGGUCGUUACCUAAUACGUGACGAUUUUGACGUUACCGACAGAAUAAGCACCGGCUAACUCUGUGCCAGCCGCCGCCGUAACAC